rnacentral:lncRNA from 10 species
GGGACACAGUGUUUAAACAGCAACUAAUUACAUAACUACAACUGUAAUAGGCAGUGUAAAGAAGUGAAGAUGCUAGGGGAACAGCUAACAGUCUGGAGUAUUAGGAAUUCUUCUUUGAAGAAGUCACAUUUGAACUGAGUGCUAAAGGAAGAGUGAGGGCAGGAGCUGGAGUUAGGGGUUGAGGGCAGGGGAAGAGUGUUCAGGGUAGCACCACCAGUGUGGGUGGCCAAUGAAGAGUGAGAAAGCUAAGCAGGUGGGUGAAAGCCUCUUUGUGCAUGGCCUUGUAGGCCCCAUUCAUGAUUUGGGUCAUUACCCUCACACACCAGGAAGCAACAUAGUUUUGAAAGGUCAGUUUGAGUGCAAAAUGGAGAAAGGAUCAAAGAGAGAAAAGAAUAGAUGGCAAAGACCAGUCAGAAGGCUACUGGGACCUGCCUAGAAUCCAGGCAAAAAAAUGAGGGUGACUUGUAUUAGGGUGGAGACAAUGGGGAUAGAGAGAGUAAGGAAGAAAGUUUGGGAGGAGGAGGGCAAGAGCUGAAGAGAAAGUCUGGCUUGACAGAUCAGCUGGGUGGUGUGUGUGUGAGUGUGUGCAUGUGCGUGUGAGACAAGAUCAGCUGGGAUGGUAUGUUUGUGUGUUUACAAGAUCAGCUGGGAUGGAGUGUGUGAGUGCAAGUGUGUGAGACAAGAUCAGUUGGGGUGGUGUGUGUGUGAGACAAGAUCAGCUGGGGUGGUGUGUGUGUGUGAGAGAGAGACAAGGACAAGAUCACCUGGGGUGGUUGUGUGUGUGUGUGUGUGUGUGUGAGUGAGACGAGAUCAGCUGCAGUGGUGUGUGUGUGUGACACAAGAUCAGCUGGGGUGGUAUGCAUGUGUGUGUGUGUGUGUGUGUGUGUGUGUGAGAGAGAGAGAGAGAGAGAGACAAGACCAGCUGGGGUGGUGUGUGUGUAUAACAAGAUCGGUUGGGGUGGUGUAUGUGUGUGUCUGUGUGACAAGAUCAGCUGCGGUGGUGUGUGUGUGUGAGACAAGAUCAGCUGGUGUGGUGUGUGUGUGUGUGAGACAAGAUCAACUGGGGUGGUGUGUGUGUUUGUGACAAGAUCAGCUGGGGUGGUGUGUGUGUGAGACAAGAUCAGCUGGGGUGGUGUGUGUGUGUGUGUGUGAGACAAGAUCAGCUAGGGUGGUGUGUGUGUGAGACAAGACCAGCUGGGGUGGUGUGUGUGUAUAACAAGAUCAGCUGGGGUUGUGUGUGUGUGUGACAAGAUCAGCUGGUGUGGGGGGUGUGUGUGUGUGAGACAAGAUCAGCUGGGGUGGUGUGUGUGUAUAACAAGAUCAGCUGGGGUUGUGUGUGUGUGUGACAAGAUCAGCUGGUGUGGGGUGUGUGUGUGUGUGAGACAAGAUCAGCUGGGGUGGUGUGUGUGUGUGUGACAACAUCAGCUGGGGUGGUGUGUGUGUGAGACAAGAUCAGCUGGGGUGGUGUGUAUGUGUGUGACAAAAUCAGCUGGGGUGGUGUGUGUGUGUGAGACAAGACCAGCUGGGGUGGUGUGUGUGUAUAACAAGAUCAGCUGGGGUUGUGUGCGUGUGUGACAAGAUCAGCUGGUGUGGGGUGGGGUGUGUGUGACAAGAUCAGCUGGGGUGGUGUGUGUGUGUGAGACAAGAUCAGCUGGGGUGGUGUGUGUGUGAGACAAGAUCAGCUGGGGUUGUGUGUGUGUGUGUGUGACAAGAUCAGCUGGUGUGGGGUGUGUGUGUGUGAGACAAGAUCAGCUGGGGUGGUGUGUGUGUGUGUGAGACAAGAUCAGCUGGGGUGGUGUGUGUGUGUGAGACAAGAUCAGCUGGGGUGGUGUGUCUGUGUGAGACAAGAUCAGCUGGGGUGGUGUGUGUGUAUAACAAGAUCAGCUGGGGUUGUGUGUGUGUGUGACAAUAUCAGCUGCGGUUGUGUGUGUGUGAGACAAGAUCAGCUGAGGUGGUGUGUCUGUGUGUGUGUGAGAGAGAGAGAGACAAGAUCAGCUGGAGUGGUUUGUGUGUGUGUGUGUGUGAGACAAGAUCAGCUGGGGUGGUGUGUGUGUGUGUGUGUGAGAUUGAGAGAGAGAGAGAGACAAGAUCAGCUGGGGUGGUGUGUAUGACAAGAUGAGCUGGGGUGGUGUGUGUGUGUGAGAGAGAGAGAGACAAGAUGAGCUAGGGUGGUGUGUGUGUGUGAGAGAGACACACAAGAUGAGCUAGGGUGGUGUGUGUUUGACAAGAUCAGCUGGGGUGGUGUGUGUGUGUGUGUUUGACAAGAUCAGCUGGGGUGGUGUGUCUGUAUAACAAGAUCAGCUGGGGUUGUGUGUGUGUGUGUGUGUGUGAGACAAUAUCAGCUGCGGUUGUGUGUGUGUGUGAGACAAGAUCAGCUGGGGUGGUGUGUGUGUGUGAGAGAGAGAGACAGAGAGACAAGAUCAGCUGGAGUGGUGUGUGUGUGUAUGUGUAUGAGGAGGCUGGCCAGGGAUCUUCUGCAUAUCUGCUCUUGCAAAUGGUGGCCUCUGCAGCUAGUGGAGCUCACCAGGAUUUGGGCUAGGAGUAAUAGUUAACCAAGGCCCUGGAAAUCACAACCAUUCCAAAAGGGGCAUGGACAAUGGUUGGACUCCCUUAGUGUUUCAAACGGGGCAGAAAUUAAGGGUCAAUGGUAACAUCUCAUCAUAAACUUCUUUAUUUGAAACACUGAUGGGAAGCUUUCUUUCAUCUUUUCUGCUUUUUCUUUCCUUUUCUUUCUUUUUUUUUUUCUUAAUAGAAACAUAUCAGAAAAGUCAGCAAGCAUAAUCCCAAGGAAGGAUUUCUGACAAAGAGCCUUUAGAUAAAAACAUAUUUAUCAAAAAACAAAUUUUUCAGUCAAGGGCCUUUAGACACUGUAUCAUUUUCUUUCCUUAUAACAGAUAUUCAGACUACUUCUUGGAAGGGCCCCAAAUGCCUUGCCUAAGAACAAUGGACAAAAGUCGCAGUCUCCUAAUUCCAUUAGUCAGAAAACAUUGUGGUUUCAGAAGUUUUUGCUUAUAGGGCAUUUUGUAGCGGUAUCCUAGACAGGGGUUGACAUGGAAACCUGUGUUUCUCCAAUAGGGUUUCCAUGGCAAUUCUAUAGAUUUUCUCAUUUGUUAAUAGCAAUAGCCUUGGUCUUGAUAACUAAUAUAAUAGACCUGAGAUUAAAAAGGUGAAUCACUCUACUUGGAUGGGGUUCCCUUGUCAGGGUCAGAAUAAUAUAUUUGGCAACCAACCAGCCUCUGCACAGAAUCAUCUAGAACUGUGUUAACUAAUAUGAUGUCCAUUAUCCACAUAUAGCUAUUUAGAUUUAAAUUAAUUAAAGCUAAUAAAAAUUAAAAAUUCAGUUUCUGACUUUCAAGUGCCAUUUUUCUAGUGCACAUGGGGCUAGUGGUUACCCACUAGACAGCACAGUUAUAGGACAUUUCUAUCAUCAUAGAAGUUCUGCUGGACAGCAUUGAUGUAGAAGAAUCAUUUAUCUGUAAAUGUAUCACUCAUUCAAUUAGUAAUUCAUUUAAAUUGAGAUACCUUCCUUAAAUUUUUUCAGUCUCACUAUAAACCAGAAACAAAGCAAGGCCGGACAUGGUUAAUACCUGUAAUCGCAGCACUUUGGGAGGCCAAGGCAGGCGGAUCACUUGAGCUCAGGAGUUU